GACAGGAGCCCUAGCCCCGGCAUUCCCAGGUGUCCCGGUUCGGUGAUCAGGACUGAACACAGACACUCACCAUGGAGUCUGGGCUCAGCUGGGUUUUCCUUGUUGCUCUGUUACAAGGUGUCCAGUGUGAGGUGCAGCUGGUGGAGUCUGGGGGAGGCUUGGUCCAGCCUGGGGGGUCCCUGAGACUCUCCUGUGCAGCCUCCGGAUUCACCUUUAGCAGCUACUGGAUGUAUUGGAUCCGCCAGGCUCCAGGGAAGGGGCUGGAGUGGGUCUCAUACAUUAAUGGUAACGGUGGUAGCACAAGCUACGCAGACGCUGUGAAGGGCCGAUUCACCAUCUCCAGAGACAACGCCAAGAACACGCUGUCUCUGCAAAUGAACAGUCUGAGAGCCGAGGACACGGCCCUGUACUACUGUGCGAGAGACACAGUGAGGGGACAUCAGUGUGAGCCCAGACACAAA